rnacentral:rRNA from 1 species
AAUGAACGCUGGCGGCAUGCCUUACACAUGCAAGUCGAACGGCAGCAUGACCUAGCUUGCUAGGUUGAUGGCGAGUGGCGAACGGGUGAGUAAUGCAUCGGAACGUGCCUUUUAGUGGGGGAUAACGUAGCGAAAGUUACGCUAAUACCGCAUAUUCUCUGAGGAGGAAAGCAGGGGACCUUCGGGCCUUGCGCUAGAAGAGCGGCCGAUGUCGGAUUAGCUAGUUGGUGAGGUAAAGGCUCACCAAGGCAACGAUCCGUAGCGGGUCUGAGAGGAUGAUCCGCCACACUGGGACUGAGACACGGCCCAGACUCCUACGGGAGGCAGCAGUGGGGAAUGUUGGACAAUGGGCGCAAGCCUGAUCCAGCCAUGCCGCGUGAGUGAAGAAGGCCUUCGGGUUGUAAAGCUCUUUCGGCUGGGAAGAAAUCGCACCCUCUAAUACAGGGUGUGGAUGACGGUACCAGCAGAAGAAGCACCGGCUAACUACGUG